rnacentral:rRNA from 1 species
CAGUGGGGAAUAUUGCACAAUGGGCGCAAGCCUGAUGCAGCCAUGCCGCGUGUAUGAAGAAGGCCUUCGGGUUGUAAAGUACUUUCAGCAGUGAGGAAGUGGGUAUGUUAAUAGCAUACUCAUUUGACGUUAGCUGCAGAAGAAGCACCGGCUAACUCCGUGCCAGCAGCCGCGGUAAUACGGAGGGUGCGAGCGUUAAUCGGAAUUACUGGGCGUAAAGCGCAUGCAGGUGGUUUGUUAAGUCAGAUGUGAAAGCCCGGGGCUCAACCUCGGAAUUGCAUUUGAAACUGGCAAACUAGAGUACUGUAGAGGGGGUAGAAUUUCAGGUGUAGCGGUGAAAUGCGUAGAGAUCUGAAGGAAUACCGGUGGCGAAGGCGGCCCCCUGGACAGAUACUGACACUCAGAUGCGAAAGCGUGGGGAGCAAACAGGAUUAGAUACCCUGGUAG